CAGCAGCCACGGUAAAACGAAGGUCCCGAGCGUUGUUCGGAAUCACUGGGCGUAAAGGGAGCGUAGGCGGCGUGGUAAGUCAGAUGUGAAAUCCCGGGGCUCAACCCCGGAACUGCAUCCGAUACUGCCAUGCUAGAGGAUUGGAGAGGUAGCUGGAAUUCUUGGUGUAGCAGUGAAAUGCGUGGAGAUCAAGAGGAACACUCGUGGCGAAAGCGAGCUACUGGACAAUAACUGACGCUGAGGCUCGAAGGCCAGGGUAGCGAAAGGGAUUAGAUACCCGCGUAGUCCCUGUCUCUUAUAC
rnacentral:rRNA from 1 species